CAGUCGCCGCGGUAAUACGUAGGUGGCAAGCGUUGUCCGGAAUUAUUGGGCGUAAAGGGCUCGCAGGCGGUUUCUUAAGUCUGAUGUGAAAGCCCCCGGCUCAACCGGGGAGGGUCAUUGGAAACUGGGAAACUUGAGUGCAGAAGAGGAGAGUGGAAUUCCACGUGUAGCGGUGAAAUGCGUAGGGAUGGGGAGGAACACCAGUGGCGAAGGCGACUCUCUGGUCUGUAACUGACGCUGAGGAGCGAAAGCGUGGGGAGCGAACAGGAUUAGAUACCCGGGUAGUCCCUGUCUCUUAUAC
rnacentral:rRNA from 1 species